CCUACGGGAGGCAGCAGUGGGGGAUAUUGCACAAUGGGGGAAACCCUGAUCCAGCGACGCCGCGUGGGUGAAGAAGUGUUUCGGUGUGUAAAGCUCUGUCAGCAGGGAAGAAAGUAAUGACAGUAGAUGAGGAAGAAGCGGCUGCUUACUACGCAGCAGCAGCCGCAGUAAGACGUAGGGGGGAAGCGUUAUGCUGAUUUACGUGGUGUAAAGGGGGCGUAGACGGUGCACGAAGGGUGGAGUGAAAGGCCGCGGCUCAACGCCGGGACUGCUGUGGAAACUGGGUAGCUGGAGUGCAGGAGGGGCAGGCGGAAUUCCUGGUGUAGCGGUGAAAUGCGUAGAUAUCAGGAGGAACACCGGUGGCGAAGGCGGCCUGCUGGACUGCAACUGACGUUGAGGCCCGAAAGCGUGGGGAGCAAACAGGAUUAGAUACCCGUGUAGUC
rnacentral:rRNA from 1 species